rnacentral:rRNA from 1 species
GACGAACGCUGGCGGCGUGCUUAACACAUGCAAGUCGAACGGAAAGGCCUGCUUUCCCUUGUGGAUUGCGGGUACUCGAGUGGCGAACGGGUGAGUAACACGUGAGUGAUCUGCCCCCAACUUGGGUAUAAGCCUGGGAAACUGGGUCUAAUUCCCGAUAGGACUGCAGGGUGGUGCCUGUGGUGGAAAACGAUUUUCUAGUGGUUGGGGAUGAGCUCGCGGCCUAUCAGCUUGUUGGUGGGGUAAUGGCCUACCAAGGCGGCGACGGGUAGCCGGCCUGGGAGGGUGGACGGCCACAGUGGGACUGAGAUACGGCCAAGACUCCGACGGGAGGCAGCAGUGGGGAAGAUGGAACAAUGGGCGGAAGCCUGAGGCAGCGACGCCGCGUGGGGGAUGACGGGCUUCGGGUUGUAAACUCCUUUCGACCGCGAGGAAGCCACCUGGUUGGAAGGGUGGUGACGGUAGUGGGAGAAGAAGCACCGGCUAACUACGUG